CUACGGAGGGUGCAAGCGUUAUUCGGAAUCACUGGGCGUAAAGGACGCGUAGGCGGGUUGGCAAGUCAGAUGUGAAAUCCUACAGCUUAACUGUAGAACUGCAUUUGAAACUGCUAACCUAGAGUAUGGGAGGGGGAGAUGGAAUUAGUGGUGUAGGGGUAAAACCCGUAGAUAUCACUAGGAAUACCGAAAGCGAAGGCGAUCUCCUGGAACAUAACUGACGCUAAGGCGUGAAAGCGUGGGGAGCAAACAGGAUUAGAAACCCGUGUAGUCC
rnacentral:rRNA from 1 species